AUCCCCUGGAGUUCUUGUUAAAAUGCAAAUUCUGAUCCAUUAGUUUUAGGGUGGGGCAGAGAUUUUGCAUUUCUAACAAGCUCCCAAGCGAUGCUGA
rnacentral:pre_miRNA from 1 species